GAGGUGGAAUACCUCCUUGGCUAUGAGGAGCAGAAGUAUUUCAUGGAUUGUGUAAGUUGGCCUCCUCAUACUUGUACACACACCAAGCAUUUCCCCUCCAAAGUAUCAUAUUCAGAAAGACAAAGAUCACAGAUACAUUUAGGAAUCCCAUGCUGGUCACAGAGCCAAAAUAACACAUCAUCAUGAUUUCUUACAAGCAGAAGUUCCUGAACAAUAUUUUGACCAGUAGUUAUUUUAAUAUCUGCAAGAGCUUUUGCCCAAGCGAGCUUUUGAAGUGCUCGCCAAUCGCAAAAGAUGGCAACAAGAGUAAUGACAAAGCCAAUCAGGGGAAGUUUAGGACUACCCUGAUAUAGGUUCCUGUAACCAACAUAAAACAGUACAGCAACGCAGUACAGGAAGACAGAGAUGGCAAAUGUAAUAGGAUUGUACAGAAGUGUCAUCUCCUAGGAGGACUUGACUUUCUAAUUUAUAUCAUACACAUUAAUACCUGGAGGUGACUGAAAUGAUGCCUGAUUUAACCUGAAUGGAUAAUCAGAAGUAGCUGUAAUAGUUUCGUAACUGUAGGAGGACAAUUCACUUGAAUUUCUGUUUGCUCUUAAAAACCUCCACAGGUGGCAAAAGAGAAGAUGGAAGCCAUCUACUCCAGGCCCUCGAGGAAGCUGAGCAGCUCCCUGAGUAGGGUUGAGGUUGAUCUGGAAGGCCACAUCCUCUAAAGGAAGGAAGGAGAGAGAGUCAGGAUGGUGGGGGCCUCAGUAGUUUUGCAUUUCCCUAAUGAUUAGUGAUGUUGAACAUCUUCCCAAGUGCUUAUUGGCCACUUGUUUAUUUUCUUUGGAGAAAUGUCUAUUCAAGUCCUUGCCCAUUUUUGAAUCAGGAUUGAUUUUUUUGUGGUCUAGUUGUAGUUCUUUAUACACUAUGGAUAUCGAUUCCUUAUCAGAUCUAUGAUUUGAAAAUAUUUUCUACCAUUCUAUAGGUUCCUUUUUUCACUCUGUUGAUUAUACUCUUUGACACAUCCAUGGACAAGAUUUUAAAGGGCAGGUAGAAGUCAGACAGUUUGAGCAGCAGUGUAGUGAAGAGAAGGCAUUUCACUCGAAGGAAAUAGCCUGUGCAAACACACAGAGAGAACCGCAACAUGCAGAUAGUUGGGUCUUGCUAAUACACUGAUGAAGGGUAGGAGUUUGUUAAAAAUGCAAAUUCUGGCUGGGAUCCUGGCUCAUGCCUGUAAUCCCAGCACCUUGCGGGGUUGAGGCGGGAGGAUUGCUUGAGUCUAGGAGUUUGAGACCAGCCUGGGCAACAUAGUUAGACCCCAUCUCAAUAAAAAAGAAUAAUUAAAAAAUGCAAAUUCAUGGAGGCCCAGUUUUGGCCUAUUGAAUCAGAAUCUCCGGGGUAGGGCCGGGGGAUCCCGGUUUUAAUCAGCCCCCGGGAUUAUUCCAAGGUUCCGUAGAGUUUAAGGGAAGUGGAGGAACUGCCGAGGGGUCCGCUGAAGUUUUGGAAACAUCCCUGGUGAGAAAGACGGCCCGGGUUGUUGUUUAGGCCGGGUACCCUGGGCUUGGCUGCGUCCCCAUCCUCUUCCAGCCGCCCCGUCCCAAUCCGACCCCGCCCGAGUUCUGGCCGCCGUCCGACCCCUCGGGGCCCGCCCUGCGCCCCAGCCUCCUCCCCGCCGUGGGGUCAGGGGUCAGGGGCGCGCGGCUGCAGCCAAGCCCACAUUCCUCUUACUUCCCGCCAUUGUCCUGGGUUCCUGUGGCCGCGUCUCCACACUCGCUCCUGACCGCCCCACAGUCCCGGGGAGUGAUGACUCAUUUCCUUUCCCCUGCUGACAUCAUCGUGCCCCCAGCGUGGCCCGGCCGGGGCGGCGGCCUGCGCCCUCCCAGGUCUCCUCCCAGCGCC
ensembl:lncRNA